UACGUAGGGUGCAAGCGUUGUCCGGAAUUAUUGGGCGUAAAGGGUGCGUAGGCGGCGUGGUAAGUCGGGUGUGAAAUCUCGGAGCUUAACUCCGAAACUGCAUUCGAUACUGCCGUGCUUGAGGACUGGAGAGGAGACUGGAAUUUACGGUGUAGCGGUGAAAUGCGUAGAUAUCGUAAGGAAGACCAGUGGCGAAGGCGGGUCUCUGGACAGAGUCUGACGCUGAGGCGCGAAAGCUAGGGGAGCAAACAGG
rnacentral:rRNA from 1 species